rnacentral:rRNA from 1 species
UACAGAGGUCUCAAGCGUUGUUCGGAUUCAUUGGGCGUAAAGGGUGCGUAGGUGGCGGGGUAAGUCAGGUGUGAAAUUUCGGAGCUCAACUCCGAAACUGCAUUCGAUACUGCCGUGCUUGAGGACUGGAGAGGAGACUGGAAUUUACGGUGUAGCGGUGAAAUGCGUAGAUAUCGUAAGGAAGACCAGUGGCGAAGGCGGGUCUCUGGACAGUUCCUGACGCUGAGGCACGAAGGUCAGGGGAGCAAACGGG